AUUGAACGCUGGCGGCAUGCCUUACACAUGCAAGUCGAACGGCAGCACGGGAGCAAUCCUGGUGGCGAGUGGCGAACGGGUGAGUAAAGUAUCGGAACGUGCCCAGUCGUGGGGGAUAACGUAGCGAAAGUUACGCUAAUACCGCAUACGAUCCAUGGAUGAAAGCGGGGGAUCGCAAGACCUCGCGCGAUUGGAGCGGCCGAUAUCAGAUUAGGUAGUUGGUGGGGUAAAGGCUCACCAAGCCGACGAUCUGUAGCUGGUCUGAGAGGACGACCAGCCACACUGGGACUGAGACACGGCCAAGACUCCUACGGGAGGCAGCAGUGGGGAAUUUUGGACAAUGGGCGAAAGCCUGAUCCAGCCAUGCCGCGUGCAGGAUGAAGGCCUUCGGGUUGUAAACUGCUUUUGUACGGAACGAAAAGGUUUGGCCUAAUAAGCUGAGCUCAUGACGGUACCGUAAGAAUAAGCACCGGCUAACUACGUGCCAGCCGCCGCAGUAAGAC
rnacentral:rRNA from 1 species